UUUCGGGCGCCCGGAAGUGGGUCCGAAAAUUCACUUCGUGAGUAUCGUUUGCGCUGACACGUGGCUGGUGGUAGGUGAGUUCCACCGGAGCCAGAUGGGCGCAGCACACCGUGGGCGGAGGAACCGAAGGGGAGCAAGUGUGUAGCGUGGAGGUUUCGAACGCCCAGAAAGGGUUUUUGGGCGCCUGAAAGUGUGGUUUUCUGCAGAAUCUGCAGGUUAACCUCUUUUAUUC
rnacentral:lncRNA from 1 species